rnacentral:rRNA from 1 species
GAUGAACGCUGGCGGCGUGCCUAAUACAUGCAAGUCGAGCGAACAGACGAGGAGCUUGCUCCUCUGACGUUAGCGGCGGACGGGUGAGUAACACGUGGAUAACCUACCUAUAAGACUGGGAUAACUUCGGGAAACCGGAGCUAAUACCGGAUAAUAUAUUGAACCGCAUGGUUCAAUAGUGAAAGACGGUUUUGCUGUCACUUAUAGAUGGAUCCGCGCCGCAUUAGCUAGUUGGUAAGGUAACGGCUUACCAAGGCAACGAUGCGUAGCCGACCUGAGAGGGUGAUCGGCCACACUGGAACUGAGACACGGUCCAGACUCCGGGAGGCAGCAGUAGGGAAUCUUCCGCAAUGGGCGAAAGCCUGACGGAGCAACGCCGCGUGAGUGAUGAAGGUCUUCGGAUCGUAAAACUCUGUUAUUAGGGAAGAACAAAUGUGUAAGUAACUAUGCACGUCUUGACGGUACCUAAUCAGAAAGCCACGGCUAACUACGUG